CCAUAUUGUCCCUAUAUGUCCCCUAUUGUCCCUAUAUGUCCCCAUAUGUCCCCAUAUAUCCCUAUAUGUUCCUAUAUGACCCCAUAUUGUCCCCAUAUUGUCCCCAUAUGUCGCCAUAUGUCCCAUAUUGUCUCUAUAUGACCCCAUAUGUCCCUAUAUGUCCCCAUAUGACCCUAUAUGACCCAUAUUGACCCCAUAUAUCCCUAUAUGCCCCAUAUGUCCCUAUAUGUCCCCAUAUGUCCCUAUGUGUCUCCUAUUGUCCCUAUAUGACCCUAUAUGUCCCUAUAUGACCCUAUAUUGUCCCUAUAUGUCCCCAUAUGUCCCUAUAUUCCCCCAUAUAUCCCUAUAUGUCCUUAUAUGACCCCAUAUUGUUCCUAUAUGACCCCAUAUUGUCCCUAUAUGUCCCCAUAUGUCCCUAUAUGUCCCUAUAUGUCCCCAUAUGUCCCUAUAAGUACCCUAUUGUCCCAAUAUGACCCUAUAUGUCCCCAUAUGUCCCAUAUUGACCUUAUAUGUCCCCAUAUAUCCCUAUAUGAUCCUAUAUGCCCCCUAUUGUCCCUAUAUGUGCCAUAUUGUCCCUAUAUGUCCCCAUAUGACCCUAUAUGACCCCAUAUGUCCCUAUAUGUGCCAUAUUGUUCCUAUAUGUCCCCAUAUGUCCCCAAAUGACCCCAUAAAUCCCCACAGGCAGCGACCGCGACAGCGACGCCGACGGCCCCGACUACGAGAACGUGUAUGGACUCUGCCCCAUAAGUACCCCAUAACUGCCCCAUAAGUACCCCAUAACUGCCCCUCUGCCCCAUAAAUACCCCAUAAGUGCCCCUCUGCCCCAUAAAUACCCCAUAACUGCCCCUUAAGUACUCCAGAAGUGCCCCUCUGCCCCAUAAAGACCCCAUAAGUGCCCCUCUGCCCCAUAAAUACCCCAUAACUGCCCCAUAAGUACCCCAUAAGUGCCCCUCUGCCCCAUAAGUACCCCAUAACUGCCCCAUAAGUACCCCAUAAGUGCCCCUCUGCCCCAUAAAUACCCCAUAUGUGCCCCUCUGCC
ensembl:lncRNA